GGCGGCUUCGCGGGGAUCACCCGCCGGCAGCGGGCUGGCGGCGCCCGGACGGACGCGCGGGUCGGGGGAGCGGCGAGAACGCGCGGUUCAGGCUUCCAGCUGGGUGCGAUCUCGGCCGUCUGCGAGCUGGGCAAGUCGGUCACCUCUCUGAACUUGAGUUCCCUCCUCUGUAAAAUGCGGAUAAUUAGAUAACAUCGACCUCCCGGAGUGGUUGUAAGGAACUGGGCUCCCGGCUCCGGGACAGGAAAAGACACGGCCACCCUCCACUUGGGGAAAACCAGGUUUACUCAGCAGCAUCUAAAUUUUAAUAGAUGCUGUAUUUUCGAGGAACGCGACUUCUAUGUAAACCAAGGAAAGAUGCAUUGUUUUGUUCAGUACUUUCCAGAGAUUUCAGAAAAUCAAACAACAGGCAGGUGACACAGCUCCAGGCAUUUGAGUCACCAAAGCAUCACAUCCAUCAGCCUGCACUGUGAAGUGCGGGAGGCUGGGAUUUGAGUCCGCUCUGGGAAGAACGGUGUGUAAGAUCAGUUGAGAGGAUUUCAGGCCCUCUCAAGUGUCUCUUCUGGCAAACAGGCAUUCAAGAUGGCUCCCCAACCUGACCCCAAGCUGUGUGCCCUC